rnacentral:lncRNA from 1 species
AUGGAGGGUGCACUUGCUGAUAUGAAGUUUUAUUUUAUACAAAUCCUGGAGAAGCUAAGUGAGGCCAUGUCAGUGUUGCCAGAAGACAUGAGAAUCAUGCCAGAUCUCUGUGGCUUAACAUUGGAACAUAGUGUUCUGGAGGCUGGGAAGUUCAAGAUCAAGGUACCAGCAAAUUUCAUUACCUGGUGCCCCAUAAUGGCACACAGCUUUACUCAGCAACCCCUGCCAGCUUCCAAGCCCCAGGAUACUGACCUGCACCAGCACAUGGGGCAGCAUUACCUCCCCAACAGUGUGGAGAAGAGAACAUUUCACCACUGGGUGAUGAGAGUAGACAGUGACUCUUGGCUUCUCAAUGCUAGACAUGAUUGGAGACCUUUCAUUGUUCUAUUAGAAAAGUCCAUGAAGAAGCUGUGA